rnacentral:rRNA from 1 species
ACGCUCGACACCUUCUGGAGGCAGCAGUGGGGAAUAUUGCACAAUGGAGGAAACUCUGAUGCAGCGAUGCCGCGUGAGGGAAGAAGGUUUUCGGAUUGUAAACCUCUGUCUUUGGGGACGAUAAUGACGGUACCCAAGGAGGAAGCUCCGGCUAACUACGCGCCAGCAGCCGCGGUAAUCUGAGCGGGCUGGCAAGGC